CGGGCGAGAGGACGCGCAGGGAAGGCGCCCGGGAUGCGGAGCACAGCGAGGGACAUCCGGCGUCUGCCGGCCCAGGGUCGCCGUCUGCAGCCGCCAGAGUCCACAGCUCGCCCUUCCCCAGUCCCUUCUGGUCAGUCAAUGCCGUGGGGCCAGUGAACUCAGGGCUGCUACCCCGGGCGAGUCAGGCUUAAUGGGACGUGCAGAGAAGCCUGUCAGUCUUCUAUCCAUGCAAUCCAUCCGAGUGCAGGAGGUAAUCAAGGCAAGAUCUUACUUUGAGGGCUGACAAUCUUCCAACCUCCAGGAACGACUGAUCAACUGACACGACUCCCGGACCCAGAUGGAAACAACCAGCGAGGCCUAGGACGGGCCUGUCCACGUGGAAGCCUGCGCAGGGUGAAGAGCCGACCCAGCGGAGCCCCCACCACCGAGACCCGACUCCCAGACCCUACUGGAGCACCCGAUGCUGAGACCAGAGGAUCCGGAGUGAAGACCCGACCAGCGGGAGCGCCUGACGGCGACCCCCGUGUCCCGACCUAUCCGGAUGCCUGUCCAUUGGAGGCAGCGGAGUCCCAAGGCCUGACCCAAUGCGAGGCCUGACCCGAUGCGGGCCCGACCCGACGCGAGGCCUGACCUGCGGGGACGCCCGACGCCAGGGCCCAACAUCAGGGCCCUUCUGGAUCAGAUGCCCGACGCAACGGGACACCAGGGGCCGAGUCCUGACGCUGAGGCCCCCCUUGACGCCCCCACUUACCUGCUGGGGUAGACCACUCCUCUUCAGGAUCUUCAGACCUGUAUGAGGACAACAACUUACCUCACAGGCCAGCUGAAUCCAUUCCAGGUCUUCCAAGUCUGUUCAUGAGCUGUCACUUACCUUCCAGUUCAGGUAAAUCUGCUCCAGGUCUUCAAGGUCUGCCCAGAAGAAAUCACUUACCUUCCAGUCCAGGUGAAUCCACUCCAGGUCAUCCAGGUCUGUCCUUAAGCAGUCACUUACCAGCUGGCUCCACUCCGGGACCGACGAGUUGCAGCCACUUACCUCGGAAGUGUGGUAAGAGGGCUGGGCUGCAGGUGAGACUGAAACAGCGUGGGUACAAGGCCCCCCCCCCCCCCCCACUGCCCCCAGCAUACCACUAGCUAAUGACCAGGCCAUUGAGAAAAAAGUUGAUGAACUAAGGGCAAGAUUGACCUACCAAAGAGAACUGAGGGACUGCUGUGUGCUAUGUCUCACGGAAACAUGGCUUACACCUGCUUCACCUAACUGAGCUAUACAACCUGAGGGCUUCUCAAUCCACCGAAUGGACCGUAAAGCGUCCUCAGGCAAAGUUAGAGGUGGAGGGGUCUGCUUCUUAAUCAAUAACAUGGUGCUCGGACGUGACGGUCCUGGCGAGCUCCUGCUCACCCAGCCUGGAAUAUCUCAAGGUGAAGUGUCGACCAUUCUACCUGCCAAGGGAGUUCACUUCAGCUAUCCUGAUGGCAGUCUACAUCCCACGCCAGACGGACAUGAAGCCUGCACUCAAUGAACUAUACUCUGUGAUCAACAGCCUUGAGACUGGGUACCCUGAGACCCUCUUCAUUAUUGCAGGUGACUUCAACCGGGCCAACCUCAAGAGUGUGUCACCAAAAUAUUACCAGCACGUCUCCUGUCCCACCAGGGGCCCAAACACCCUUGAUCAUUGCUAUACAACCAUUAAAGAUGCCUUCCGAGCCACCCUCCCGUCCACACAUUAGUAAAUCAGACCACCAGGCUGUGCUCCUUCCCCCUGCGUACAAACAGAAACUGAAACGGGAGCAUCCAGUACAGAAGGUGGUACAGUGCUGGUCUGAGGAAAUAGAUGAACUUCUGCACGACUGCUUUGAGUCAGCGGACUCAAUGAUCAAAGAGACAGCUGCCAGCCUAGAUGAGUAUGUCACCACCAUCACAGACUUUAUCAGCAAGUGUGUGGAGGACUGUGUACCAAAGAGGACCAUCCAGGUGUUCCCAAACCAGAAACCAUGGAUGAACCAGGAGAUCCACUCCCUGCUGAAGUCCAGGACUGCAGCAUUCAAAUCAGAUGAACCUGACCUUUACAAGAAAUCGAGAUACAUAGAACAGCGCAGUACAGGCCCUUCAGCCCACGAUGUGCCUGCUCUAAGAUCUAUCUAACCCUUACCUCCCACAUAGCUCCCCAUUUCUCUGUCAUUCAUGUGGCUACCUAAGGGUCUCUUAAAUGCCCCCACAACCUCUGCCAGCAGUGUGUUCCACACACCCACCACCCUCUGUGUAGAAAACUUACCUCUGACAUCCCCCCUAUACCUUCCUCCCAUCACCUUAAAAUUAUGUCCCCUCGUGUUAGCCAUUUUCGCCCUGAGAAAAAGUCUCUGACGGUCCACUCGAUCUAUGCCUCUUAUCAUCUUGUACACCUCUAUCAAGUCCCCUCUCAUCCUCCUUCUCUCCAAAGAGGAAAGCCCUAACUCACUCAACCUAUCCUCAUAAGACAUGCUCUCCAAUCCAGGCAGCAUCCUGGUAAGUCUCCUCUGCACCUUCCCUAACGCUUCCACAUCCUUGCUAUAAUGAGGCAACUGAACUAAACACAAUAUAUGACCUCUGUAAAGCUAUCAGGGAUGCCAGCAGACAAAACCAGGCCAAAAUCAAGUCCCAGACCAGCUGUCAGUUGUGGUAGGGCUUACAUGCUAUAACGGGCUACAGAACAAAGCUGGGCAGCAUCGCCAAGAACAGUGCAUCCCUUCCCAAUGAGAGAACAUUCUAUGCAUGUUUUGAACAGAAGGGGAUUGGAUUGUCACCACCCACCCUGAUAGCCUCCAAUGCACCUGAACCCGUAGUCACUGUCAAGGAUGUAAGAUCAGUCUUCCGGAGAGUGAACCCGAGGAAAGCAUCUGGCCCGGAUGGUGUCCCUGGCUGUGUGCUCAGAUCUUGUGCUGAUCAGCUGGCAGGGGUAUUUGCAGACAUAUUUAACCUCUCCCUGCUUCAAUCUGAGGUUGCCACCUGUUUUAAGAAGACCACUAUCAUCCCAGUACCUAAGAAAAACAAGGUAACGUGCCUUAAUGACUACUGACUGGUGGCUCUGAAACCCACCAUCAUGAAGUGCUUCAAGAUGUUGGUCACGGCACGCAUUAACUCCAGAGGUUGGUCAGAGCAUGCAAAACCUCGACCCACUGCAAUCCGCCUACCACUGAAACAGGUCUACAGUGGAUGCCAUCUCCCUGGCCCUACACUCAUCUCUGGAGCAUCUGGACAGUAAAGACACCUAUGUUAGACUAUUGUUUAUUGACUACAGCUCUGCCUUCAAUACUAUAAUUCCAACCAAACUCAUCACCAAACUUCGAGACCUGGGACUCAACACCUCCCUCUGCAACUGGAUCCUUGACUUCCUGACCAACAGACCGCAAUCAGUGUGGAUAGGCAGCAACACCUCCAGCAUGAUUAUUCUCAACACUGGCGCCCCACAAGGCUGCGUCCUCAGCCCCCUAUUCUGCUCCCUAUACACUCAUGACUGUGUGGCCAGAUUCUGCUCUAACUCCAUCUACAAAUUUGCAGAUGAUACCACUGUAGUGGGCUGUAUAUCAAAUAACGAUGUCAGAGUAUAGGAAGGAAAUAGAGAGCUUAGUGACAUGGUGUCAUGACAACAACCUUUCCCUCAAUGUCAGCAAAACAAAAGAGCUGGUCAUUGACUUCAGGAGAGGGGGCGGUGUACAUGCACCUGUCUACAUCAAUGGUGCUGAGGUCAAGAGGGUUGAGAGCUUCAAGUUCCUGGGAGUGAACAUCACCAGUAGCCUGUCCUGGUCCAACCACGUAGAUGCCACGGCCAAGAAGGCUCACCAGCGCCUCUACUUUCUCAGGAGGCUAAAGAAAUUUGAUAAGAUAUCCUUAUUAGUCACAUGUACAUCGAACCACACAGUGAAAUGUAUCUUUUUGUGUAGAGUGUUCUGGGGGCAGCCCGCAAGUGUCGCCACUCUUCCGGCACCAACAUAGGAUGCCCACAACUUCCUAACCCGUACGUCUUUGGAAUGUGGGAGGAAACCGGAGCACCCGGAGGAAACCCACGCAGACACAUGGGGAGAACGUACAAACUCCUUUCAGUCGGCAGCUGGAAUUGAACCUGCAUCACUGUCACUGUAACCACUAUACUACUGUACCCCUUUGACGCUCACCAACUUUUACCGAUGCACCAUAGAAAGCAUCCUAUCUGAAUGUAUCACAGCUUGGUAUGGCAACUGCUCUGCCCAGGACCACAAGAAACUGCAGAGAGUUGUGGACACAGCUCAGCACAUCACAGAAACAAGCCUCCCCUCCAUGGACUCUGUCUAUACUUCCCGCUGCCUUGGUGAAGCAGCCAGCAUAAUCAAAGACCCCACCCACCCAAGACAUUCUCUCUUCUCCCCUCUCCCAUCAGGCAGAAGAUACAUGAGCCUGAGGGCACAUACUACCCUCAAGGACAGCUUCUAUCCUGUUGUAAUAUGGAUCCCUUAUACGAUAAGAUGGACUCUUGACCUCACAAUCUACCUUGUUAUAAUCUUGCACCUUAUUGUCUACCUGCACUGCAUUUCCUCUGCAGCUGGGAUACUUUACUCUGUAUUCUGUCAUUGUUUUACCCUGUACUACCUCAAUGCACUGUAAUUAAUUGAUCUGCAUGAAUGGUAUGCAAGACGAGUUUUCCACUGUACCUCAGUACAAGUGACAAUAAUAAACCAAU